rnacentral:ncRNA from 2 species
UCACUAAGAAAUAUUUUAGGUGCCUAUUAGCUUUACAUGUGAGUAAGAGAAUAACUUCAGUAAUAGCUAAAGGUGAAACGGGAAAUUGGUUAAACCAAUACUGCCCCCGCAACGGUGUGAGCUGCCAGCUAUACCCAAACUACAUGAAGAUACAGAUUUCAGCUGGAAUUAGAAACGCCUUUAGGCAAGGCAUUGAUUGAAGAAAAUAGUUAUUCUAUUGUCGAAAUCAAUAACGUAGCUUAAAGCAAUUCUAAACCAGCCCAACGGGGACGUCUGAGCAAAACAUGCUCUUCGUUACCUCAUUUAUUAAGGGGAUAACCCUUAAUAAAAGGAAGCGCCUUGAUCAUAAAUUGCUCAGGCGUCCUGAAGCACACAUCUUCAAGUAGUUUGGGUAUAUUGGUAACUCAAGUCCGGAGACCGGCCUGAAAUUUAAUUUAUCA